rnacentral:rRNA from 1 species
GCCUACGGGAGGCAGCAGUAGGGAAUCUUCCACAAUGGGCGAAAGCCUGAUGGAGCAACGCCGCGUGGGUGAAGAAGGUCUUCGGAUCGUAAAACCCUGUUGUUAGAGAAGAAAGUGCGUGAGAGUAACUGUUCACGUUUCGACGGUAUCUAACCAGAAAGCCACGGCUAACUACUUGCCAGCAGCCGCGGUAAUACGUAGGUGGCAAGCGUUAUCCGGAUUUAUUGGGCGUAAAGGGAACGCAGGCGGUCUUUUUAGUCUGAUGUGAAAGCCUUCGGCUUAACCGGAGUAGUGCCUUGGAAACU